UACGGAGGAUCCGAGCGUUAUCCGGAUUUAUUGGGUUUAAAGGGAGCGUAGGUGGAUUGUUAAGUCAGUUGUGAAAGUUUGCGGCUCAACCGUAAAAUUGCAGUUGAAACUGGCAGUCUUGAGUACAGUAGAGGUGGGCGGAAUUCCAGGUGUAGGAGUGAAAUCCGUAGAUAUCUGGAGGAACAUCAGUGGCGAAGGCGGCCACCUGGACCGGUAUUGACGCUGAGGCGCGAAAGCGUGGGGAGCAAACAGG
rnacentral:rRNA from 1 species